ACGGGAGGCAGCAGUGGGGAAUAUUGCACAAUGGGCGCAAGCCUGAUGCAGCGACGCCGCGUGAGUGAAGAAGUAUUUCGGUAUGUAAAGCUCUAUCAGCAAGGAAGAAAAUGACGGUACUUGACUAAGAAGCCCCGGCUAACUACGUGCCAGCAGCCGCGGUAAUACGUAGGGGGCAAGCGUUAUCCGGAUUUACUGGGUGUAAAGGGAGCGUAGACGGCAAAGCAAGUCUGAAGUGAAAUCCCGGGGCUCAACCCUGGAACUGCUUUGGAAACUGUUUAGCUAGAGUGCAGGAGAGGUAAGUGGAAUUCCUAGUGUAGCGGUGAAAUGCGUAGAUAUUAGGAGGAACACCAGUGGCGAAGGCGGCUUACUGGACUGUAACUGACGUUGAGGCUCGAAAGCGUGGGGAGCAAACAGGAUUAGAUACCCUGGUA
rnacentral:rRNA from 1 species